CAGCACCUCAAGUGGUCAGGAUGAUUAUUGGGCCUAAAGCAUCCGUAGCCGGCGCUGUAAGUUUUCGGUUAAAUCUGUACGCUCAACGUGCAGGCUGCCGGGAAUACUGCAGAGCUAGGGAGUGGGAGAGGUAGACGGUACUCGGUAGGAAGGGGUAAAAUCCUUUGAUCUAUUGAUGACCACCUGUGGCGAAGGCGGUCUACCAGAACACGUCCGACGGUGAGGGAUGAAAGCUGGGGGAGCAAACCGGAUUAGAUACCCGCGUAGUCC
rnacentral:rRNA from 1 species